rnacentral:rRNA from 2 species
ACACCCGGAGAACUGAAACAUCUUAGUACCCGGAGGAAGAGAAAGAAAAUUCGAUUCCCUUAGUAGCGGCGAGCGAAACGGGAAGAGCCCAAACCAACAAGCUUGCUUGUUGGGGUUGUAGGACACUCUAUACGGAGUUACAAAGGACGACAUUAGACGAAUCAUCUGGAAAGAUGAAUCAAAGAAGGUAAUAAUCCUGUAGUCGAAAAUGUUGUCUCUCUUGAGUGGAUCCUGAGUACGACGGAGCACGUGAAAUUCCGUCGGAAUCUGGGAGGACCAUCUCCUAAGGCUAAAUACUCUCUAGUGACCGAUAGUGAACCAGUACCGUGAGGGAAAGGUGAAAAGCACCCCGGAAGGGGAGUGAAAUAGAACCUGAAACCGUGUGCUUACAAGUAGUCAGAGCCCGUUAAUGGGUGAUGGCGUGCCUUUUGUAGAAUGAACCGGCGAGUUACGAUUUGAUGCAAGGUUAAGCAGUAAAUGUGGAGCCGUAGCGAAAGCGAGUCUGAAUAGGGCGUUUAGUAUUUGGUCGUAGACCCGAAACCAGGUGAUCUACCCUUGGUCAGGUUGAAGUUCAGGUAACACUGAAUGGAGGACCGAACCGACUUACGUUGAAAAGUGAGCGGAUGAACUGAGGGUAGCGGAGAAAUUCCAAUCGAACCUGGAGAUAGCUGGUUCUCUCCGAAAUAGCUUUAGGGCUAGCCUCAAGUGAUGAUUAUUGGAGGUAGAGCACUGUUUGGACGAGGGGCCCCUCUCGGGUUACCGAAUUCAGACAAACUCCGAAUGCCAAUUAAUUUAACUUGGGAGUCAGAACAUGGGUGAUAAGGUCCGUGUUCGAAAGGGAAACAGCCCAGACCACCAGCUAAGGUCCCAAAAUAUAUGUUAAGUGGAAAAGGAUGUGGCGUUGCCCAGACAACUAGGAUGUUGGCUUAGAAGCAGCCAUCAUUUAAAGAGUGCGUAAUAGCUCACUAGUCGAGUGACACUGCGCCGAAAAUGUACCGGGGCUAAACAUAUUACCGAAGCUGUGGAUUGUCCUUUGGACAAUGGUAGGAGAGCGUUCUAAGGGCGUUGAAGCAUGAUCGUAAGGACAUGUGGAGCGCUUAGAAGUGAGAAUGCCGGUGUGAGUAGCGAAAGACGGGUGAGAAUCCCGUCCACCGAUUGACUAAGGUUUCCAGAGGAAGGCUCGUCCGCUCUGGGUUAGUCGGGUCCUAAGCUGAGGCCGACAGGCGUAGGCGAUGGAUAACAGGUUGAUAUUCCUGUACCACCUAUAAUCGUUUUAAUCGAUGGGGGGACGCAGUAGGAUAGGCGAAGCGUGCGAUUGGAUUGCACGUCUAAGCAGUAAGGCUGAGUAUUAGGCAAAUCCGGUACUCGUUAAGGCUGAGCUGUGAUGGGGAGAAGACAUUGUGUCUUCGAGUCGUUGAUUUCACACUGCCGAGAAAAGCCUCUAGAUAGAAAAUAGGUGCCCGUACCGCAAACCGACACAGGUAGUCAAGAUGAGAAUUCUAAGGUGAGCGAGCGAACUCUCGUUAAGGAACUCGGCAAAAUGACCCCGUAACUUCGGGAGAAGGGGUGCUCUUUAGGGUUAACGCCCAGAAGAGCCGCAGUGAAUAGGCCCAAGCGACUGUUUAUCAAAAACACAGGUCUCUGCUAAACCGUAAGGUGAUGUAUAGGGGCUGACGCCUGCCCGGUGCUGGAAGGUUAAGAGGAGUGGUUAGCUUCUGCGAAGCUACGAAUCGAAGCCCCAGUAAACGGCGGCCGUAACUAUAACGGUCCUAAGGUAGCGAAAUUCCUUGUCGGGUAAGUUCCGACCCGCACGAAAGGCGUAACGAUUUGGGCACUGUCUCAACGAGAGACUCGGUGAAAUCAUAGUACCUGUGAAGAUGCAGGUUACCCGCGACAGGACGGAAAGACCCCGUGGAGCUUUACUGUAGCCUGAUAUUGAAAUUCGGCACAGCUUGUACAGGAUAGGUAGGAGCCUUUGAAACGUGAGCGCUAGCUUACGUGGAGGCGCUGGUGGGAUACUACCCUAGCUGUGUUGGCUUUCUAACCCGCACCACUUAUCGUGGUGGGAGACAGUGUCAGGCGGGCAGUUUGACUGGGGCGGUCGCCUCCUAAAAGGUAACGGAGGCGCUCAAAGGUUCCCUCAGAAUGGUUGGAAAUCAUUCAUAGAGUGUAAAGGCAUAAGGGAGCUUGACUGCGAGACCUACAAGUCGAGCAGGGUCGAAAGACGGACUUAGUGAUCCGGUGGUUCCGCAUGGAAGGGCCAUCGCUCAACGGAUAAAAGCUACCCCGGGGAUAACAGGCUUAUCUCCCCCAAGAGUUCACAUCGACGGGGAGGUUUGGCACCUCGAUGUCGGCUCAUCGCAUCCUGGGGCUGUAGUCGGUCCCAAGGGUUGGGCUGUUCGCCCAUUAAAGCGGUACGCGAGCUGGGUUCAGAACGUCGUGAGACAGUUCGGUCCCUAUCCGUCGUGGGCGUAGGAAAUUUGAGAGGAGCUGUCCUUAGUACGAGAGGACCGGGAUGGACAUACCUCUGGUGUACCAGUUGUCGUGCCAACGGCAUAGCUGGGUAGCUAUGUGUGGACGGGAUAAGUGCUGAAAGCAUCUAAGCAUGAAGCCCCCCUCAAGAUGAGAUUUCCCAACUUCGGUUAUAAGAUCCCUCAAAGAUGAUGAGGUUAAUAGGUUCGAGGUGGAAGCAUGGUGACAUGUGGAGCUGACGAAUACUAAUCGAUCGAAGACUUAAUCAA